rnacentral:rRNA from 1 species
AGAUGGCGACCGGCGCACGGGUGAGUAACACGUAUCCAACCUGCCGAUAACUCGGGGAUAGCCUUUCGAAAGAAAGAUUAAUACCCGAUGGUAUAAUCAGACCGCAUGGUUUGAUUAUUAAAGAAUUUCGGUUAUCGAUGGGGAUGCGUCCCAUUAGGCAGUUGGUGAGGUAACGGCUCACCAAACCUUCGAUGGAUAGGGGUUCUGAGAGGAAGGUCCCCCACAUUGGAACUGAGACACGGCCCAA